AGAACCUUGUCCUGGAGGGGGGAAACUUAGUGGGACAUGAUGCUCCCAAGGUAAGGCUUCCCCCCUCCACCUUGGGUUCCUUUCCACUGCAUCACGCAGAACUGUUUGUAAAUACCAUCCUUUCUGAUCGGUUCCCUUCCCAGCUUCUCUCCCUUCGACCUCUGCUCUCAGCUUCCCCCAUCCCUCCUCCUCUAUCUACAGAGCCAGGACUGUCAGAAUGAAUGUUCCAUUUCCCAAACUGAAUUUGGUUGUCAGUAGAGUAAAGCCAUCGUGGGUUUUCCCUUGCUCUGGUUCAGCCCCUCCCUCCUCUUCUCAGCUUGCCCACCACUGAAGAAAGACAAGCAUUUUUUGUUUGUUCAUUUUAAAGGAGAAAGCUUCGGCCAAUCAUGAGUACUACUGGGGAUCGUGGGUGCAGGGGAGGCCAUGCUGGGAGUGUAACCCAGGAGCUCAGCAGGGCCUCUCAGAAGUGAGGAGAGACUCCACAGAAACGGCCAUUUCAGGCUUCCACCCCAGACCAAGGCCCUUCAAGUCUCCAGGACACUCCAGAUUUUUUGGCGCAGGCUUGGUGACUACCGAGGCAUCUCCAGGACCAGCCAGCUCCCAGAGUCCCAGCCUCAGUGUUGAGACUGUUUCAGAGACAUUAUUUGAGGGGCCUGUGAGAUGGUUCACAGCAGUGCUUGCCCUCAAACCUGACAACCAUUCUCCUGCCUCAGCCUCCUGAUUGGCUGGAUGACAGGCCUCACCUGCCAGGCCUGGUUACAGGUGGGUUUCCUUGGGGCAAGCCACUUUCGCACACUGGUCUAAAGGGCUGCCUUUGCCAUCUGCAGCACCCCCAAGCUCACUGCCUGCCCCUCUGGUCUGAGUAGCAUGGGGUUCUACAUGUUGAGUUCAGGAGGCCUGCUCUCUCUUCUCUUCUGCCUUAAGCUCCGGGUGAGAGCUCCCGUCUGCCCAGGGAAUCCUUGAAAACUGCCGUCUCUGGGAAGAAACCUGGCUUGAAAGCACACUCCCCUCCACCACCCUGCAAAGGAGGCAGAUGUUUCAUUGUUUGUCCCAGAGGACAUGUGACAACAUCCGCACAGGGAUUUCGUUAUCACAACUCCGGGGGAGGGGGAAGUCUUCCUGCUGUCUAGUUGGUAAAGGCAAGGAGAUGUCACUAAACAUUGUACCAUACACAGAAUGAUUCCUUAAGUGACCCUCCAUCAGAAAGGGCACCGGGGGGAGCUGAGCAAUGCAAGGUGGUCCCAGGAGACCCAUAAGAAGGUUCAUUCGAUUAUCCAUACCGACAUAAUGAGCCCUGGAUCGGGUGGUGGGCAUUUCACCAGCCACAGGUGGCGAUGACUCUGCAGAGCUGCUUCUGCAAGCCCAAGGCCAGUGCCAAAGACCCCCUGUGAUUGGGUCACCCUGCAAAAGCUACAAAGUUUAGCUGCAAACUCAGAAGAGAAGUGCCUGGAUGCCCUUGUACCUGAAAGUGCAGGUGGAGGAACGGGCCCCAGUGAGCCCCAUCCAGCCCUGUGUCUGUGCGUCUACUCAGCAAGGAGUCCUUGGAAGGUUCCUUAGGGUGGCAGUGUGACCUCGUGGCAGAGAGGGGGGUCUCAGGACACCGCAGAUGGCAUAGAAUGACUUUGGACAAGUGAUCUAACCUCUCUGAGCUGUACUGCUCCCAUCCUUAAAAUGAGUAACCAUGGAGACAGUGUCUGCUUUAUUAGGUUAUGAGGGGAAUUUUAAAAAAUUCUCUUUUGUGUAUAUUUGUGUGUAUAUACUAUGCAUGUGUGUGGAGGA